rnacentral:rRNA from 1 species
UGAACGCUGGCGGCGUGCCUACUACAUGCAAGUCGAGCGAACAGAUAAGGAGCUUGCUCCUUUGACGUUAGCGGCGGACGGGUGAGUAACACGUGGGUAACCUACCUAUAAGACUGGGAUAACUUCGGGAAACCGGAGCUAAUACCGGAUAACAUUUGGAACCGCAUGGUUCUAAAGUGAAAGAUGGUUUUGCUAUCACUUAUAGAUGGACCCGCGCCGUAUUAGCUAGUUGGUAAGGUAACGGCUUACCAAGGCGACGAUACGUAGCCGACCUGAGAGGGUGAUCGGCCACACUGGAACUGAGACACGGUCCAGACUCCUACGGGAGGCAGCAGUAGGGAAUCUUCCGCAAUGGGCGAAAGCCUGACGGAGCAACGCCGCGUGAGUGAUGAAGGGUUUCGGCUCGUAAAACUCUGUUAUUAGGGAAGAACAAAUGUGUAAGUAACUGUGCACGUCUUGACGGUACCUAAUCAGAAAGCCACGGCUAACUACGUG